GAUGAACGCUGGCGGCGUGCCUAAUACAUGCAAGUCGAGCGAACAGACGAGGAGCUUGCUCCUCUGACGUUAGCGGCGGACGGGUGAGUAACACGUGGAUAACCUACCUAUAAGACUGGGAUAACUUCGGGAAACCGGAGCUAAUACCGGAUAAUAUAUUGAACCGCAUGGUUCAAUAGUGAAAGACGGUUUUGCUGUCAGUUAUAGAUGGAUCCGCGCCGCAUUAGCUAGUUGGUAAGGUAAUGGCUUACCAAGGCAACGAUGGGUAGCCGACCUGAGAGGGUGACCGGGCACAAGGGGAAUGAGAGACGGCACAGACUCGUAAGGGAGGCAGAGGUCGGGAAUAUUGAAAACUGGGCGAAAGCAUGAUACAGAGUGGAAGCGUGAGUGAUGAAGUCCUUCGGGUUGUAAACCGCUGUCAGCAGGGACGAAGCGAAAGUGACGGGACCUGAAGAAGAAGCAACGGCUAACUACGUG
rnacentral:rRNA from 1 species